AUGCCUCCGGACGGCGACGCGGAGCUGGCGGCGGACGAGCUACAGAGCCUCAGCUUCGGCUCCUCCGAGCGCUCCCGCUCCGCCUCCACCGUCUCCACCGCCACGGCCUCCUGCUCCACCUCCUCCUCCUCGGGGCCAAUCGCCGGCGUCCCCGUGUCGCGCUCCUCCAACCCCUCCGCCCUCGCACCGUGCCUCGGCACGGUGCAGCUCUCCGACAUCUGCUUCGUGCGGCGGCUCGGGGCCGGGGACAUCGGCAGCGUCUACCUGGCCGAGGUGAAGGGCAAGGUCUGGGCGCUGGUGGCGGCCAAGGUGCUC
rnacentral:rRNA from 1 species